CCUACGGGAGGCAGCAGUGGGGAAUAUUGGGCAAUGGGCGCAAGCCUGACCCAGCAACGCCGCGUGAAGGAAGAAGGCUUUCGGGUUGUAAACUUCUUUUAAGGGGGAAGAGCAGAAGACGGUACCCCUUGAAUAAGCCACGGCUAACUACGUGCCAGCAGCCGCGGUAAUACGUAGGUGGCAAGCGUUGUCCGGAUUUACUGGGUGUAAAGGGCGUGCAGCCGGAGAGACAAGUCAGAUGUGUAAUCCACGGGCUCAACCCGUGAACUGCAUUUGAAACUGUUUCCCUUGAGUGUCGGAGAGGUAAUCGGAAGUCCUUGUGUAGCGGUGAAAUGCGUAGAUAUAAGGAAGAACACCAGUGGCGAAGGCGGAUUACUGGACGAUAACUGACGGUGAGGCGCGAAAGCGUGGGGAGCAAACAGGAUUAGAUACCCCUGUAGUC
rnacentral:rRNA from 1 species